rnacentral:rRNA from 1 species
AACGAACGCUGGCGGCAGGCCUAACACAUGCAAGUCGAACGCUCCAGCAAUGGAGAGUGGCAGACGGGUGAGUAACGCGUGGGAACCUUCCCUAUGGUUCGGAAUAGCCCAGGGAAACUUGGGGUAAUACCGAAUAAGCCCUUCGGGGGAAAGAUUUAUCGCCAUUGGAUGGGCCCGCGUCGGAUUAGCUAGUGGGUGGGGUAACGGCCUACCAAGGCGACGAUCCGUAGCUGGUCUGAGAGGAUGAUCAGCCACACUGGGACUGAGACACGGCCCAGACUCCUACGGGAGGCAGCAGUGGGGAAUAUUGGACAAUGGGCGCAAGCCUGAUCCAGCCAUGCCGCGUGAGUGACGAAGGCCUUAGGGUUGUAAAGCUCUUUUGGCGGGGAAGAUAAUGACGGUACCCGCAGAAUAAGCUCCGGCUAACUUCGUGCCAGCCGCCGCGGUAACAC